AAUAGAUACCCUGUAGUCCACGCCGUAAACGAUGAGUGCUAAGUGUUAGGGGGUUUCCGCCCCUUAGUGCUGCAGCUAACGCAUUAAGCACUCCGCCUGGGGAGUACGGUCGCAAGACUGAAACUCAAAGGAAUUGACGGGGGCCCGCACAAGCGGUGGAGCAUGUGGUUUAAUUCGAAGCAACGCGAAGAACCUUACCAGGUCUUGACAUCCCAUUGACCACUAUGGAGACAUAGUUUUCCCUUCGGGGACAACGGUGGCAGGUGGUGCAUGGUUGUCGUCAGCUCGUGUCGUGAGAUGUUGGGUUAAGUCCCGCAACGAGCGCAACCCUUGUUCUUAGUUGCCAUCAUUUAGUUGGGCACUCUAAGGAGACUGCCGGUGACAAACCGGAGGAAGGUGGGGAUGACGUCAAAUCAUCAUGCCCCUUAUGACCUGGGCUACACACGUGCUACAAUGGACGGUACAAACGGUUGCCAACCCGCGGGGGGAGCUAAUCCGAUAAAACCGUUCUCAGUUCGGAUUGUAGGCUGCAACUCGCCUACAUGAAGCC
rnacentral:rRNA from 1 species